CCGUCACUCGCCGCCCGCGCCGCUCCGGCGGAACCGGAAAGACGGGACUUGGCCCACGCGAGAGGCAUCGCCGCCACUGAGGUGGCGCGCGCUUCCGUUUCCGCCGGGUCUGCAACACCUGUCCCGUGCUCCUGGGAGUGGAUCAGCGCUGCAAUACCCGCUCAUCCUGAGAAUCCACUGCAUAAAUCACGAUAAGGACAUCACUAAGCAAGUUCUGUACAGUUUAUUGAAGAACAAAAUCAAGCUAUUUAUUACACAAACGUUCCUGGUACCUGAUCUGAAGUCCAUACAGUUGAUCUAGUUCCACACGACCCUUUUCUUCAAUACCUCCCACAUUCCGUUCAGAUAUGCCACGAUAUGUUUUAAUAAAUCUGUGUGAGUUCCUUCUGCUCUA